AUUGGACGCUGGCGGCAUGCUUUACACAUGCAAGUCGGACGGCAGCACAGAGAAGCUUGCUUCUUGGGUGGCGAGUGGCGAACGGGUGAGUAACAUAUCGGAACGUACCGAGCAGUGGGGGAUAACUAAUCGAAAGAUUAGCUAAUACCGCAUAUUUUCUGAGGAAGAAAGCAGGGGACCUUUGGGCCUUGCGCUGUUUGAGCGGCCGAUAUCUGAUUAGCUAGGUGGUGGGGUAAAGGCCUACCAAGGCGACGAUCAGGAGCGGGUCUGAGAGGAUGAACCGCCACACUGGGACUGAGACACGGCCCAGACUCCUACGGGAGGCAGCAGUGGGGAAUUUUGGACAAUGGGCGCAAGCCUGAUCCAGCCAUGCCGCGUGUCUGAAGAAGGCCCUCGGGUUGUAAAGGACUUUUGUCAGGGAAGAAAAGGGCGGGGUUAAUACCCCUGUCUGAUGACGGUACCUGAAGAAUAAGCACCGGCUAACUACGUG
rnacentral:rRNA from 1 species